rnacentral:lncRNA from 1 species
CCAGUUAUUAGUCUAACCGAUCUGACCGACCAAUCCUAUCUAAUUCAAACAACCAUGUUGCAAGCUUGUUACCUCUUCAAGUGCGACAGUCGAGAGACGAAACCCUCAUACAGGAUAAUACCAAACUUAUUGAAGAGUCUAUCAACUCCGAGUGAAUGACAAUUCGUAAACUUGACUUUUUUUCAGAAAAAUAAUCGAAAAUCCC